AUUGAACGCUGGCGGCAGGCCUAACACAUGCAAGUCGAGCGGAGCGGCGGACGGGUGCGGAAGGCCCAGGAAUCUGCAAGGUAGUGGGGGAUAACGUUCGGUAACGGGCGCGAUAACCGAAUCCUCUCAGAAUAGCCUAGGUCGGAUUAGCAAGUGGGUGGGGUAAAGGCCUACCAAGGCGACGAUCCGGAACUGGUCUGAGAGGAUGAUCAGUCACACUGGAACUGAGACACGGUCCAGACUCCUACGGGAGGCAGCAGUGGGGAAUAUUGGACAAUGGGCGAAAGCCUGAUCCAGCCAUGCCGCGUGUGUGAAGAAGGCCUUCGGAUUGUAAAGCACUUUAAGUUGGGAGGCGUUACCAACAGAAGAAGCACCGGCUAACUUCGUGCCAGCCGCCGCGGUAAUUC
rnacentral:rRNA from 1 species